GACGAACGCUGGCGGCGGGCCUAAUACAUGCAAGUAGAACGCUGAAGCGAGAAGCUUGCUCUUCUUGGAUGAGUUGCGAACGGGUGAGUAACGCGUAGGUAACCUGCCUGGUAGCGGGGGGGGACUAUGUGAAACGAUAGCUAAUACCGCAUAAAAUUGAUUAUUGCAUGAUAAUUAAUUGAAAGAUACAACUGCAUCACUACCAGAUGGACCUGCGUUGUAUUAGCUAGUUGGUGGGGUAACGGCUCACCAAGGCGACGAUACAUAGCCGACCUGAACGGAGGACCAGCCACACUGGAACUAAGACACGGUCCAGACUCCUCCGGGAGGCAGCGUAGGGGAAUAUUGGACAAUGGGCGCAAGCCUGAUCCAGCCAGACCGCGUAGGGAAAGAAGGCCUUGGGUUUGUAAAGCCCUUUUGUUGGGAAAGAAAAGCAGCAGGUUAAUACCCCGCUGUUCUGACGGUACCCAAAGAAUAAGCACCGGCUAACUUCGUG
rnacentral:rRNA from 1 species